GAGAGCCAAAUGAAUCAAAAGAUUCAUGUUUGGUUCGGGAAGAGAUCAUAGACAUUUUGAAAUUAAAUGAAUGGAAAGUUAUGGUUUAUUUAUU